rnacentral:tRNA from 1 species
GGAAGUGUGGCUCGGUGCAAGAGCUCUUGCCUUCCAUGCACAAGGCUCUGGGUUCAAUUCCCAGCACCAUUA